rnacentral:rRNA from 1 species
ACUCCUACGGGAGGCAGCAGUGGGGAAUAUUGCACAAUGGGGAAACCCUGAUGCAGCCAUGCCGCGUGUGUGAAGAAGGCCUUCGGUUGUAAAGCACUUUCAGUAGGGAGGAAGGUAGUGUAGUUAACACCUGCAUUAUUUGACGUUACCUACAGAAGAAGCACCGGCUAACUCCGUGCCAGCAGCCGCGGUAAUACGGAGGGGUGCGAGCGUUAAUCGGAAUUACUGGGCGUAAAGCGCAUGCAGGCGGCCUGUUAAGUCAGAUGUGAAAGCCCGGGGGCUUAACCUCGGAAUUGCAUUUGAAACUGGCAGGCUAGAGUCUUGUAGAGGGGGGUAGAAUUUCAGGUGUAGCGGUGAAAUGCGUAGAGAUCUGAAGGAAUACCAGUGGCGAAGGCGGCCCCCUGGACAAAGACUGACGCUCAGAUGCGAAAGCGUGGGGAGCAAACAGGAUUAGAUACCCUGGUAGCACAGAG